CCCGCUGAAACUUAGCAUAUCAAUAAGCGGAGGGAAAGAACCAACAGGGAUUGCCUCAGUAACGGCGAGUGAAGCGGCAACAGCUCAAAUUUGAAAUCUGGCCCUCUCAGGGUCCGAGUUGUAAUUUGGAGAAGAUGCUUCGGGUGUGGCCCCGGUCUAAGUUCCUUGGAACAGGACGUCACAGAGGGUGAGAAUCCCGUACGUGACCGGUGGCCGCCCCCGUGUGAAGCUCUUUCGACGAGUCGAGUUGUUUGGGAAUGCAGCUCAAAAUGGGUGGUAAAUUUCAUCUAAAGCUAAAUAUUGGCCAGAGACCGAUAGCGCACAAGUAGAGUGAUCGAAAGAUGAAAAGCACUUUGGAAAGAGAGUUAAACAGUACGUGAAAUGUUGAAAGGGAAGCGCUUGCAACCAGACUUGCGCGCGGCCGAUCAUCCGGUGUUCGCACCGGUGCACUCGGUCGUGCUCAGGCCAGCAUCGGUUUGGGUGGUUGGAUAAAGGCCUCGGGAAUGUGGCUCUCUUCGGGGAGUGUUAUAGCCCGAGGUGCAAUGCAGCCCACCCGGACCGAGGACCGCGCUUCGGCUAGGAUGCUGGCGUAAUGGUUGUAAGCGACCCGUCUUGAAACACGG
rnacentral:rRNA from 1 species